GGUUAUGCUAAUAAGAGCGUAUGGUGGAUGCCUUGGCACUAAGAGCCGAUGAAAGACGUGAUAAGCUGCGAUAAGCUUCGGGGAGGGGCAAAUACCCAUCGAUCCGGAGAUUUCUGAAUGGGGAAACCCACUGGAGCAGACCUCCAGUAUCCUUAACCCAAUCCAUAAGUUAAGGAAGGGAACCCGGUGAACUGAAACAUCUAAGUAGCCGGAGGAAGAGAAAACAACAUGUGAUUCCGGAAGUAGCGGCGAGCGAAACCGGAAGAGCCCAAACCAGGGUGCGUGCACCCUGGGGUUCGGACCGCAUAAUUGAUUCAUGGAAGAUAGCAGAACAGUUUUGGGAAAGCUGGCCAGAGAGGGUGAAAGCCCCGUAAGCAAAAUCCAACAUGACAUGGCGGUAUCCAGAGUACCACGAGACACGAGAAACCUUGUGGGAAUAUGCGGGGACCACCCCGUAAGGCUAAAUACUCCUUAGUGACCGAUAGCGCAUAGUACUGUGAAGGAAAGGUGAAAAGGACCCCGGGAGGGGAGUGAAAGAGAACCUGAAACCAUAUGUUUACAAACUGUGGGAGCACUAUAUAGGUGCAACCGCGUACUUUUUGUAGAACGGUCCGGCGAGUUACGCUGGCUGGCGAGGUUAAGGGCCAAAGGCCCGGAGCCGAAGGGAAACCAAGUCUGAAUAGGGCGAUCAUAGUCAGUCGGAGUAGACCCGAAACCGGGUGAUCUAUCCAUGUCCAGGUUGAAGUUGCCGUAAAAGGCAAUGGAGGACCGAACCCACAUCCGUUGAAAAGGGUGGGGAUGAGGUGUGGAUAGGGGAGAAAUUCCAAUCGAACCCGGAGAUAGCUGGUUCUCCUCGAAAUAGCUUUAGGGCUAGCCUCAUACUCAAGUCUUGCGGAGGUAGAGCACUGAAUUUCCUAGGGGGCGUCAAAGCUUACCAAAGAAUAUCAAACUCCGAAUGCCGUGUAGAUGAUGUAUGGGAGUCAGACUGUCCGAGAUAAGUUGGAUGGUCAAAAGGGAAAGAGCCCAGACCUACAGCUAAGGUCCCAAAAUGUGUGUUAAGUGGAAAAGGAUGUGGGAUUUCGAAGACAACUAGGAUGUUGGCUCAGAAGCAGCCAUUCAUUGAAAGAGUGCGUAAUAGCUCACUAGUCGAGAGGUCCUGCGCCGAAAAUGUCCGGGGCUGAAACACACUACCGAAGCUUAGGAAUUAACGAAUGUUAAUUGGUAGAGGAGCAUUCUUAACUGCGACGAAGCUGUACCGUAAGGAGCAGUGGAGUGUUAAGAAGAGAGAAUGCCGGAAUGAGUAGCGAGAGGAAGGUGGGAAUCCUUCCGGCCGAAUAUCUAAGGUUUCCAGAGUAAAGCUGAUCUGCUCUGGGUAAGUCGGGGCCUAAGGCGAGGUCGAAAGACGUAGUCGAUGGACAACAGGUUGAAAUUCCUGUACUUUUAACUGACAGAACUGUGGGGACGCAGAGAGAAAGCGCAAGCCGGGAGUGGAAAAUCCGGUGCAAGCGGGGUAGGAGUAUAUCAGGCAAAUCCGGUAUACAAUCCGAAGACGUGAUGCGGAGCGAACUAAAGUAGCGAAGUGCGUGAGCUAGCUGCCAAGAAAAGCCGCUAUUGUUCAGUUAAAACCCGUACCGUAAACCGACACAGGUGGAUGAGGAGAGAAUCCUAAGGCCGACGGGAGAAGCAUUGUUAAGGAACUCGGCAAAAUGACCCCGUAACUUCGGGAGAAGGGGUGCCUCGCGAGAGGCCGCAGAGAAUUGGCCCAAGCAACUGUUUAGCAAAAACACAGGUCUAUGCAAAACCGAAAGGUGAGGUAUAUGGGCUGACGCCUGCCCGGUGCUGGAAGGUUAAGGGGAGAGGUUAGCGCAAGCGAAGCUUUGAACUUAAGCCCCAGUAAACGGCGGCCGUAACUAUAACGGUCCUAAGGUAGCGAAAUUCCUUGUCGGGUAAGUUCCGACCCGCACGAAAGGCGUAAUGAUUUGGGAUACUGGGAUUCGGUAUUGCAUGUACAGGAUAGGUGGGAGGCUAAGAACUUAUGACGCCAGUCGUAAGGGAGCCGCUGUUGGGAUACCACCCUUGCAGUAUUGGGUUUCUAACCAUCAGCCGUGAUCCGGCUGGGGGACAAUGUCAGGUGGGGAGUUUGACUGGGGCGGUCGCCUCCGAAAGGGUAUCGGAGGCGCUCAAAGGUCUUCUCAGAAUGGUUGGAAACCAUUCGCAGAGUGCAAAGGCAUAAGAAGGCUUGACUGCGACACCGACGGGUGGAGCAGGUACGAAAGUAGGACUUAGUGAUCCGGUGGUAUAAAGUGGGAUUGCCAUCGCUCAACGGAUAAAAGCUACCCUGGGGAUAACAGGCUUAUCACUCCCAAGAGUUCACAUCGACGGAGUGGUUUGGCACCUCGAUGUCGGCUCAUCGCAUCCUGGGGCUGAAGUAGGUCCCAAGGGUUGGGCUGUUCGCCCAUUAAAGCGGUACGCGAGCUGGGUUCAGAACGUCGUGAGACAGUUCGGUCCCUAUCCGGCGUGGGCGUAGGAUAUUUGAGAGGAGCUGACCUUAGUACGAGAGGACCGGGUUGGACUGGCCGCUGGUGUAUCUGUUGUUCUGCCAAGAGCAUAGCAGAGUAGCCAAGCCGGGAAGGGAUAAACGCUGAAGGCAUCUAAGCGUGAAGCCCCCCUCAAGAUGAGAUAUCCCAUAACGUCAAGUUAGUAAGACCCCUUGAAGACGACGAGGUAGAUAGGACAGAGGUGGAAGU
rnacentral:rRNA from 1 species